rfam:Nematostella vectensis strain CH2 x CH6 NEMVEscaffold_8247_Cont54300, whole genome shotgun sequence.
GUUUCCGUAAUGUAGUGUUUAUCACGUCUGCUUUACACGCAGAAGGUCCCCAGUUCAAGCCUGGGCGGAAACA